rnacentral:tRNA from 1 species
AGAAGCUCAGAGGAGUGGUUAAAGCACUCAGCUGCUAACUGAAAGGUCGGUGAUUCGAACCCACCAGCCUCUC